CUACGGGAGGCAGCAGUGGGGAAUAUUGCACAAUGGGCGCAAGCCUGAUGCAGCCAUGCCGCGUGUAUGAAGAAGGCCUUCGGGUUGUAAAGUACUUUCAGCGGGGAGGAAGGGAGUAAAGUUAAUACCUUUGCUCAUUGACGUUACCCGCAGAAGAAGCACCGGCUAACUCCGUGCCAGCAGCCGCGGUAAUACGGAGGGUGCAAGCGUUAAUCGGAAGUACUGGGCGUAAAGCGCACGCAGGCGGUUUGUUAAGUCAGAUGUGAAAUCCCCGGGCUCAACCUGGGAACUGCAUCUGAUACUGGCGAGCUUGAGUCUCGUAGAGGGGGGUAGAAUUCCAGGUGUAGCGGUGAAAUGCGUAGAGAUCUGGAGGAAUACCGGUGGCGAAGGCGGCCCCCUGGACGAAGACUGACGCUCAGGUGCGAAAGCGUGGGGAGCAAACAGGAUUAGAUACCCGAGUAGUC
rnacentral:rRNA from 1 species